GGAAUCUUGCGCAAUGGGCGAAAGCCUGACGCAGCGACGCCGCGUGGGUGAUGAAGGCCUUCGGGUUGUAAAGCCCUGUGGAGGGGGAAGAAUAAGUCUUGGCUAACAUCCAAGAUGAUGACGGUACCCCUUUAGCAAGCACCGGCUAACUCUGUGCCAGCAGCCGCGGUAAGACAGAGGGUGCAAACGUUGUUCGGAAUUACUGGGCGUAAAGCGCGUGUAGGCGGCUUGGCAAGUCGGGUGUGAAAGCCCUGGGCUCAACCCAGGAAGUGCACUCGAAACUGCUUCGCUCGAGUAUCGGAGAGGAAAGCGGAAUUCUCGGUGUAGAGGUGAAAUUCGUAGAUAUCGAGAGGAACACCGGUGGCGAAGGCGGCUUUCUGGACGAUUACUGACGCUGAGACGCGAAAGCGUGGGGAGCAAA
rnacentral:rRNA from 1 species